GAAGAGGUGGCUGAGAGGUUAAGCCGAUGGUCUGUUAAUACAUUGUGCUCUGCCUGCGUGGGUUCCAAUCCCAUCCUCGCCG